UACAGAGGGUGCAAGCGUUAAUCGGAUUUACUGGGCGUAAAGCGUGCGUAGGUGGCCAAUUAAGUCAAAUGUGAAAUCCCCGAGCUUAACUUGGGAAUUGCAUUCGAUACUGGUUGGCUAGAGUAUGGGAGAGGAUGGUAGAAUUCCAGGUGUAGCGGUGAAAUGCGUAGAGAUCUGGAGGAAUACCGAUGGCGAAGGCAGCCAUCUGGCCUAAUACUGACACUGAGGUACGAAAGCAUGGGGAGCAAAC
rnacentral:rRNA from 1 species